UCCUCUUCUUCGUUUCCAAUCCGAAAGAUCAUGCGGCGUGAUGAUCCUAAUGUUAGAUCAAGUUCCCAAAGAGACUGUGGAGCUUUACAACUCGAAACUGGAGCCGAACAAAUAAAAAAAUCAAUAUUUUUUUCUUUGUUUUCCAGACAUAACAAACAACAGAAAUAAAAUAACACGACACCGCCCAAACGGAGCCGAUCGGAACGGGGAAAUAGUAAGAGUGAUUAGGUUGUCUGAGUCGGGAGCAAACCCUCUCGAGGAGACGAAACCCCAACCAUUGCGACAUCUCCCUCCUCCUCCUCCUCCUCCUCCUCCCUCGAGAUUGGAGAUUGAGAGUGUCGGCGACGAGAAGAAGCCGGUGGUCGCCCGUGGUCUCCUGGAACGGCGGCUUCAGCUUCACGCUCCAGUUCUACGGCGCCAAUCCCGAUUCCGCCACCUUUCUGCGACAUCGUAUUAGCCCUUAGUACUGGCGAUGGCGCACGCUCUUGAAGUAUGCCGAUAGUUUAUGAACUUGAUGGCCUAGGUCGUCAUAUCCGGGAGCUAAAUGGUGGGAAAAGAUCCACAGACACUUGGGUCAUUAGAGAUCACAUACCGUAUGUUGAGCAUGGGGAUUGAGUUAUUGAAUGUCUGAAUGAAGACAAUAUUAUGAAGUUGGACUCCCAACUUUUGAAGGAUUGCUUUUCCAUAUUGAGUAUCCACGAAAGCCCUACUAGUGCGGGUGCACUUUUUCUUGGACAAGCUGCUUUUGUCAUCCUUGCUUUGUUAGAUUCAUUUCCAUAUCUGUGGUUCAGAAGAUUCUUGAAACAUGCACUGAUGAACAUUGUGCAAUCUUGCUCGAUCACAUAAAAGUUGAUCUGCAGGCUUUGGAGAAAGUUGCCUACAAGAAACAUAUGGUUGCUUGGGCAGAGCAGUCAUGUGGUGAAGAUGACAAAGUUGUGUUAUGGAUGAACACAGUUUCUCCUCCUGUGAAUGAUUGCAAUAUGAGGCAGCCAAAGAUGCGUUAGCCCCUGCGAUUGAGUGCUUGAUGAUAAUUGGAUCUGUCUUCGAAGCUCAUCGUAUCCUUUGGGGCAUCACACGAAGCGUAGAUUUCGACUUUAAUUAAACCAACCAACCAACCAGAUUUAUGUCAGAGUAACGUGAUACAAAUGAUACAGCAUGAUGAUGAUGAUUGAUGCCUGUGAUAUACAUCCCCUUGAUUUACACGAAACAGUGGUGUAACGCUGGGUAUUAAUAUAUAAAUCCAGCUUAGUGUCCGAUGGUACAGAGGUUAUUGAAUUGGAGCUGCAGUCGACAAAGACUAACGCGUGUAACAACUGAGAAUGAUACUAUGAAUGAUGAUUAUUCUGA